rnacentral:rRNA from 1 species
CCUACGGGUGGCAGCAGUGGGGAAUAUUGCACAAUGGGGGAAACCCUGACCCAGCAAUGCCGCGUGAAGGAAGAAGGCUUUCGGGUUGUAAACUUCUUUGACAGGGGAAGAGCAGAAGACGGUACCCUGAAAACAAGCCACGGCUAACUACGUGCCAGCAGCCGCGGUAAUACGGAGGAUGCGAGCGUUAUCCGGAUUUAUUGGGUUUAAAGGGUGCGCAGGCGGAGGUGCAAGUCAGCGGUCAAAUUGCGGGGCUCAACCCCGUACUGCCGUUGAAACUGCAUCCCUUGAGUGCGCGAGAAGUAUGCGGAAUGCGUGGUGUAGCGGUGAAAUGCAUAGAUAUCACGCAGAACUCCGAUUGCGAAGGCAGCAUACCGGCGCGCAACUGACGCUCAUGCACGAAAGCGUGGGUAUCGAACAGGAUUAGAUACCCCAGUAGUC